rnacentral:rRNA from 1 species
GAGUUUGAUCUUGGCUCAGAGUGAACGCUGGCGGUAGGCCUAACACAUGCAAGUCGAACGGCAGCACAGUAAGAGCUUGCUCUUAUGGGUGGCGAGUGGCGGACGGGUGAGGAAUACAUCGGAAUCUACUUUUUCGUGGGGAUAACGUAGGGAAACUUACGCUAAUACCGCAUACGACCUACGGGUGAAAGCAGGGGAUCUUCGGACCUUGCGCGAUUGAAUGAGCCGAUAUCGGAUUAGCUAGUUGGCGGGGUAAAGGCCCACCAAGGCGACGAUCCGUAGCUGGUCUGAGAGGAUGAUCAGCCACACUGGAACUGAGACACGGUCCAGACUCCUACGGGAGGCAGCAGUGGGGAAUAUUGGACAAUGGGCGCAAGCCUGAUCCAGCCAUACCGCGUGGGUGAAGAAGGCC